rnacentral:rRNA from 1 species
AGCGAACGCUGGCGGCAGGCCUAACACAUGCAAGUCGAACGAAGCCUUCGGGCUUAGUGGCGGACGGGUGAGUAACACGUGGGAACGUACCUUUUGGUACGGAACAACUCAGGGAAACUUGAGCUAAUACCGGAUGAGCCCUUAGGGGGAAAGAUUUAUCGCCGAAAGAGCGGCCCGCGUUAGAUUAGCUAGUUGGUGAGGUAAAGGCUCACCAAGGCUACGAUCUAUAGCUGGUCUGAGAGGAUGAUCAGCCACACUGGGACUGAGACACGGCCCAGACUCCUACGGGAGGCAGCAGUGGGGAAUCUUGCGCAAUGGGCGAAAGCCUGACGCAGCCAUGCCGCGUGAAUGAUGAAGGUCUUAGGAUUGUAAAAUUCUUUUACCAGGGACGAUAAUGACGGUACCUGGAGAAAAAGCCCCGGCUAACUUCGUGCCAGCCGCCGCCGUAA